UACGGGGGGGGCAAGCGUUGUUCGGAAUUACUGGGCGUAAAGGGCGCGUAGGCGGUUUGCUAAGUUGGAUGUGAAAACUCUGGGCUUAACCCAGAGCCUGCAUCCAAAACUGGCAAACUUGAGUACUGGAGGGGAAAGCGGAAUUCCUGGUGUAGCGGUGAAAUGCGUAGAUAUCAGGAGGAACACCGGUGGCGAAGGCGGAUCUCUGGGCCGAUACUGACGCUGAGGAGCGAAAGCGUGGGGAGCGAACAGG
rnacentral:rRNA from 1 species